rnacentral:rRNA from 1 species
UACAGAGGGGGCAAGCGUUGUUCGGAAUUACUGGGCGUAAAGGGCGCGUAGGCGGCCUUCUAAGUCAGACGUGAAAUCCCCGGGCUCAACCCGGGAACUGCGUCCGAUACUGGCUGGCUUGAAUCCGGGAGAGGGAUGCGGAAUUCCAGGUGUAGCGGUGAAAUGCGUAGAUAUCUGGAGGAACACCGGUGGCGAAGGCGGCAUCCUGGACCGGUAUUGACGCUGAGGCGCGAAAGCCAGGGGAGCAAACGGG